rnacentral:lncRNA from 1 species
GUUUUUAGCAGAAAGGAUCAACACAAUUUGUUUGGACCUUAGAAUCACGUAGAAAGAGCACUCUUGAAAUGUCAACUCUUGCGAAGGGUUCUAGAGACAAGAUAAUCCUCGAGACUGAGAGAGAGAGAGAGAAGGAGAUUGAGAGGAUCUGAGUCUGCGGUGCUCUCUGUCUCUGCCGAGCUCUUCCCUUGAGGGCAGAGCUGAAGAGACCCGCCCUUCUCCGGCUGCGUUUUGCCGCCCUUCCUGUUAGCACGAACCCGGUGAGGGUCAGAGGCAGAGAAAAGCGUGAUUGUUUUCGUGUGUUUGUUUUCCAGAAGCCGGGGAGAGAGAAAGUGAACUCCACAGACCAACGGUGCAAAGGCUCUGGGAGGUGAGCAGGGGCCAGUUCCACUGUCACCAGGGAUGGAGUCAUCCUGGGCCCGUGUACCCUCCAUGCUGGACAUGUUUGGAAUGACCUCAGGACUUAGCUUCUCCCUUUCAAAAGCAGUUGCUCUCAAAGAUGGCGUGGUGAUGUCUAAAGAAUUCAGGAUUUGGAUUCAGAAUCCCCAAGUCUUGGUCUAGGCUCUUUCGCACACACACGAGUGGCGAUCCUAACUUUUUGGCUAAAGGACUCAUGUCUGAAGACAGUUAAAAACAACCACAAAGUGAAGUGCAAGACGGAGACAGACUGGAAUAGUGGGGUGGGUGUUGGAUUAGACAAGAAAAUCCAGGUCUAAGUCGUGUUUCUACUACUUGCUAACAACUGUGUGAUUUUGCUCAGGGAAGUCAUUAUUUUUUUCUGGGAACUUUAUUUUUCUCAUUCAUAAUUUAUGGAAGAACAAAGCCUUAGCAAAAUGCUUCUGAGGAUUAAAUUGGUAAUGCAUUUUAAAACUCUAACCCUCUCUACCAAAAACAAAAUACUGUUGUUUUGAUUAUCAUCUCUCACACCAAAUUUGAGCCUGAAGAGAUCUACCCUGAAGACCAGAGGAGUUUUUUGAGAUAACCUUUUGAAGGGCUCAUUGGUGUUAAAUUCCCGGCCAGGGACCCACUGUCGCUGUUGCAGUCAGAGGCUGUGCAGCGCUCAUCCUGCCACCCGCUCGAUGCUCGCCUGCAGCGCUCAGUCACUUGAGCGUUGAAGUAGGCAUGGAUUAAAGUGUCUCUAGCUCCCGCAUUUGGAUGGAAAUCAUUCACUGGUGAAUUGUCUCAUAAACUGUUCUCAAAUGCACCGAAAAACAAACACAAUGGACAAUGUAAGCUGUAUAAUAAUUUUUCAGUGACCCUGGGGUGACGUGUGAGGGCUCCCAGAACUCAGACAAGUGGAUACAUGUUUGCUCAGGCAAAGCUCUAUUUUCUUGUUGACUGUUCCUUCAGUGGGAAUAAGCUGAGAUGUCAAUCGUGUAUAUCUGUAUAUGGAUAUAUGUUAGUUCAUGACCCAUAUGAUCCAGAAACCAAAAUGCAUAAGGUAUUUCAUAAUGUUUUCAUGAUAAUGAGGGUUGAGAAGUAGAUGGUUUCCUUGCUCCCCUCCACCCCAGGUUUUGCUCAGAAUCUAUCUGUUGACCUACAGCUGACCUUUUUGGAUAAUAUAGAGGAGAGAAGCAGCUGCCUACAUGUCUAUGCGGGCCCUCAAUGCUACUCAUCCCGCCUGUCCCUGUUAAGGACACUGAAAAGCAGCCGGCCAGAUGGGUCUGAGAGUCACGGGGCGCCACUCUGGAAGGCCUGCCAAGACUGUAGACUUGUAGGGUGGCUGGUAGGAUUCUGGAAUGACCCCAGAGACUCAGAGAGGAGCUAGACCCUGAAGAAAGUGACCAGUUGACUUCUUUCCUCAUGUCCCAUCUAACACACCCUUUGAGAGAAGUGGGGAAAGGGAAAGGUGUGAGAGUAAUUUUACAGUUUGUCAAGACAUGAAUUUGUGCACCUAAUCUUUUUAGCGUACCAGCAUUGGAUUCAACUCAGUCCAAUGGUUGCUUGGCAAACACUGCUUUCUAUUGGUGAUUGGGUUUUCAUAAACAAAGUAUGAGUGGUAUAGUAUGGUGAUGAAGGGCUCAGACCCUGAGAUUUGAAGCCAAAUUUGAAUUUUGAAGCCAGAUUUGAAUUUGGGAGCCAAAUCCUGGUUCUGCCAUUAACUACGUGACUUUGGACAAGAUUCAAGAGUUCAAUGGUCUCAAUUUUUUCAACUGUAAUAAGAGAUAAUCUUAAAACUUACCUCAUAGGGACGCUGUGAUGACUGAUGGGAUACUGCCUGUUGGGCACUUAGUAGAGUGCUCAGGACCUAGACUGUUUCAAUGCAC